UAGGGAAUAUUGCACAAUGGAGGAAACUCUGAUGCAGCGACGCCGCGUGAGUGAUGAAGGACUUCGGUUCGUAAAGCUCUGUCGUAUGGGAAUAACAAAAUGAAUGUACCAUGCAAGAAAGGAUCGGCUAACUUCGUGCCAGCAGCCGCGGUAAGACGAGGGAUCCUAGCGUUGUUCGGAAUCAUUGGGCGUAAAGCGGGUGUAGGUGGCUUUGUAAGUCAGGUGUGAAAGCCCAGGGCUUAACCCUGGAAGUGCAUUUGAUACUGCGAAGCUUGAGUGCUGGAGAGGUAAGUAGAAUUCCUGGUGUAGUGGUGAAAUACGUAGAUAUCAGGAGGAAUACCGGAGGCGAAGGCGGCUUACUAGCCAGACACUGACACUCAGACCCGAAAGUGUGGGGAUCAAACA
rnacentral:rRNA from 1 species